UCUUCAUGACUUCUUCUGAUGUAACCUCAAUGGACUUCUUUCCAUGGCAACCAGGUUCCGAUGAGCAGAAGCAGACGUCCUCAGGUCUCAGAAGGCUCAGGGUCAGGACAACAGUGCCACUUCCUUCCUUCUCUUUGGUCCACAGCAAGCCACAAGGUCACCCCACAGUCUAUGGCAGUCACGAAUUGAAGAGCUGCUGAUAGUCAUGGCCUUGGCAAAAAUGAAGAGACGUGAGAUCCUGUCCCCAGUGCAGAUGUGGCUGACCUGAGGAAGGCUGACCCAAGAUCCAGAGGAACAGACAUGGCAAGUCCGGACCUGUACACCCGAGAGGUACUCCUGCUUCCAUUUGGAAGACAGGAUGAAUAUUGCUUGUAAUCUUAUUGUGUGAAUAAAUGAGUGUUAUACCAAGUCUGAA